ACAGGCUCAAUAGGCGUUAUAUUAAAGUUGUUGCAGUUAAAAGCUCGUAGUUGAACCUUGGGUCUGGCUGGCCGGUCCGCCUCACCGCGAGUACUGGUCCGGCUGGACCUUUCCUUCUGGGGAACCUCAUGGCCUUCACUGGCUGUGGGGGGAACCAGGACUUUUACUGUGAAAAAAUUAGAGUGUUCAAAGCAGGCCUUUGCUCGAAUACAUUAGCAUGGAAUAAUAGAAUAGGACGUGCGGUUCUAUUUUGUUGGUUUCUAGGACCGCCGUAAUGAUUAAUAGGGAUAGUCGGGGGCGUCAGUAUUCAGCUGUCAGAGGUGAAAUUCUUGGAUUUGCUGAAGACUAACUACUGCGAAAGCAUUCGCCAAGGAUGUUUUCAUUAAUCAGGGAACGAAAGUUAGGGGAUCGAAGACGAUCAGAUACCGUCGUAGUCUUAACCAUAAACUAUGCCGACUAGGGAUCGGA
rnacentral:rRNA from 1 species